CUUUUGGCUAAUAAUGAAGGUCUUACGAAUCAUGGCUGUUGUUGGCGUAUCUUUAUUGUUUGUUGCUAACGCAAAGCAAAGAUGGCACAAUUUGCAUAAAGGCCUACCGUAUCCCAUACUAGGACCGACCAUUUAAAGUGAAACCUCGCAAUAAAGUUCCUUUGUAAUGCUGUCUACGUCGAGAAUCUUUAAAAUCCAUCGUAAGAUAUCUUAUAAGGUGUAAUAUGCGUUGACGUCUUCGGGAUCCAAGGAUAUUGGCUGAUUUUCUUAUCUGCCAAGCCGUGAAUGUUAU